rnacentral:rRNA from 1 species
AGAGUUUGAUCCUGGCUCAGAACGAACGCUGGCGGCAGGCUUAAUACAUGCAAGUCGAACGGCUGUAGCAAUACAGCAGUGGCAGACGGGUGAGUAACACGUGGGAACCUACCUAGGGGUACGGAAUAACUCAGGGAAACUUGUGCUAACACCGUAUACGACCUCAGGGUGAAAGAUUUAUCGCCCCUAGAUGGGCCCGCGCUGGAUUAGCUAGUUGGUGGGGUAAAAGCCUACCAAGGCGACGAUCCAUAGCUGGUCUGAGGGGAUGAUCAGCCACACUGGGACUGAGACACGGCCCAGACUCCUACGGGAGGCAGCAGUAGGGAAUCUUGGACAAUGGGCGAAAGCCUGAUCCAGCCAUGCCGCGUGAGUGAUGAA